rnacentral:rRNA from 1 species
CCUACGGGAGGCAGCAGUCGAGAAUCAUUCACAAUGGGGGAAACCCUGAUGGUGCGACGCCGCGUGGGGGAAUGAAGGUCUUCGGAUUGUAAACCCCUGUCAUGUGGGAGCAAAUUAAAAAGAUAGUACCACAAGAGGAAGAGACGGCUAACUCUGUGCCAGCAGCCGCGGUAAUACAGAGGUCUCAAGCGAUGUUCGGAAUCACUGGGCGUAAAGCGUGCGUAGGCUGUUUCGUAAGUCGUGUGUGAAAGGCGCGGGCUCAACCCGCGGACGGCACAUGAUACUGCGAGACUAGAGUAAGGGAGAGGGAAGCGGAAUUCUCGGUGUAGCAGUGAAAUGCGUAGAUAUCGAGAGGAACACUCGUGGCGAAGGCGGGUUCCUGGACAUUAACUGACGCUGAGGCACGAAGGCCAGGGGAGCGAAAGGGAUUAGAUACCCGAGUAGUC